rnacentral:rRNA from 1 species
UACCUGCGGAAGGAUCAUUACCGAGUGAGGGCCCUCUGGGUCCAACCUCCCACCCGUGUUUAUUUUACCUUGUUGCUUCGGCGGGCCCGCCUUAACUGGCCGCCGGGGGGCUUACGCCCCCGGGCCCGCGCCCGCCGAAGACACCCUCGAACUCUGUCUGAAGAUUGUAGUCUGAGUGAAAAUAUAAAUUAUUUAAAACUUUCAACAACGGAUCUCUUGGUUCCGGCAUCGAUGAAGAACGCAGCGAAAUGCGAUACGUAAUGUGAAUUGCAAAUUCAGUGAAUCAUCGAGUCUUUGAACGCACAUUGCGCCCCCUGGUAUUCCGGGGGGCAUGCCUGUCCGAGCGUCAUUUCUGCCCUCAAGCACGGCUUGUGUGUUGGGCCCCGUCCUCCGAUCCCGGGGGACGGGCCCGAAAGGCAGCGGCGGCACCGCGUCCGGUCCUCGAGCGUAUGGGGCUUUGUCACCCGCUCUGUAGGCCCGGCCGGCGCUUGCCGAUCAACCCAAAUUUUUAUCCAGGUGACCUC